rnacentral:lncRNA from 1 species
UACCAUUUACAUUGUUUUUACAUUUGCUAUAUUCACAAAUAGUAGUAGUGUCCGGUCUAGAUAAGCAAACAAGAUAUGAUCUAUGAAGUUGUUGAUCUGAAUUGUUUAUUUCUGGGCGGUGUAGCAUGAGCUGCAGCAGGACAACCUGUAGAAGAACUUCGAGGGCAAGAUCAAGGAGAACCAGGAGACGAUCACCGGUUACCUCAUCCUCGUCGGCAUGGUUGGCUCCUUUGGCAGACCCCUCUUUGGCUCCGACCAACUUACUUUUGUCGCUGGCUAGCAGCAUUUCCAGGUACAGUUGUGUCCUGCUCUCUUGCCCUCCGUUAUGUUUUUGUUGGAGUGUGCAUGGUGGCAUCCUGAGCCUGCACUGUAAAAUAUGCUUUGCCUUCUUCAUGAGCUGGCACUAUAAAUUUUGCUUUGUCUUGUUGAUAAUGCCAUAUGUCCUAUGCAAUCAGAUUACAUUUCUGUUUGUUAUGGUAGUAUAAAAAAUAUUGGUGCUGUCGUAAUUUUCAUAGUGUGUGCCUUUCAUUUCUUUAUUUUGAUUGUUUCCAUUUGUAUUCUAUAUGCUUCUAAUGGCUGAUCCUUCCAAUGCCAGGUGUUGUGUGUUCUGGAAGAUGGAAGAGGAAGAAAAUUUAUUUUUGUUGAACUAUUUUUUUGUAUUAUGUUUGUUGUACAUAUGAUUUGAUAGUUUUGUAUAGGAACAUGUGAUACUAUUUUGUAGGGCUUUACGGCCUGUGAUGUAAACAUAUUUAGUGAUGAAUUAUGAAUUAUUUGCAAAAUUUAUCGAAAAG